rnacentral:rRNA from 1 species
UACAGAGGGGGCAAGCGUUAUUCGGAAUUAUUGGGCGUAAAGGGCUCGUAGGCGGUUUGUCGCGUCGGGAGUGAAAACGCCGUGCUUAACACGGCGCUUGCUUUCGAUACGGGCAGACUAGAGGUAUGCAGGGGAGAACGGAAUUCCUGGUGUAGCGGUGAAAUGCGCAGAUAUCAGGAGGAACACCGGUGGCGAAGGCGGUUCUCUGGGCAUUACCUGACGCUGAGGAGCGAAAGUGUGGGGAGCGAACAGG